rnacentral:pre_miRNA from 13 species
UCCCACAGUGUUUGGCAAUGGUAGAACUCACUCCGGUGGGCUAGAAGGAUCCGGUAGUUCUAGAAUUGCCAACAACUGACCGAGA